rnacentral:rRNA from 1 species
ACCUCUAGCAUUCCCAGUAUUAGAGGCACUGCCUGCCCAGUGACAUCAGUUAAACGGCCGCGGUAUCCUGACCGUGCAAAGGUAGCAUAAUCAUUUGUUCCCUAAAUAGGGACUUGUAUGAAUGGCCACACGAGGGCUUUACUGUCUCUUACUUCCGAUCCGUGAAAUUGACCUUCCCGUGAAGAGGCGGGAAUAUAACAAUAAGACGAGAAGACCCUAUGGAGCUUUAAUUAACCGACCCAAAGAGAUCUUAACAACUAACCGAUAGGGACAACAAACCUCUACCAUGGGUCGACAAUUUAGGUUGGGGUGACCUCGGAGAAUAAAACAACCUCCGAGUGAUUUAAAUCUAGACUAACCAGUCGAAAGUACUACAUCACUUAUUGAUCCAAAAACUUGAUCAACGGAACAAGUUACCCUAGGGAUAACAGCGCAAUCCUAUUUUAGAGUCCAUAUCGACAAUAGGGUUUACGACCUCGAUGUUGGAUCAGGACAUCCCGAUGGUGCAGCAGCUAUCAAA